rnacentral:tRNA from 1 species
GCCGGCGGGACUACAGGACAGAGCACCCGCCCUCUUACGGCGGGAGGCCGGCGGUUCAACUCCGCCUCCGGGCA